rnacentral:rRNA from 1 species
UACAGAGGGGGCAAGCGUUGUUCGGAAUUACUGGGCGUAAAGGGCGCGUAGGCGGCCUGCUAAGUCGAACGUGAAAUCCCUGGGCUCAACCCAGGAACUGCGUCCGAUACUGGUUGGCUUGAAUCCGGGAGAGGGACGUGGAAUUCCAGGUGUAGCGGUGAAAUGCGUAGAUAUCUGGAGGAACACCGGUGGCGAAGGCGAUGUCCUGGACCGGUAUUGACGCUGAGGCGCGAAAGCCAGGGGAGCAAACGGG